rnacentral:rRNA from 1 species
ACGCUGGCGGCGUGGAUAAGAAUGCAAGUCGAACGAAGAAUCUCAAUAGCUUGCUAAUGAGAUUUUUAGUGGCGGACGGGUUAGUAACACGUGAGAUACCUACCCUUUAGACAGGAAUAGCCCAUGGAAACGUGGAAUAAUACCUGAUAGUCUCUACGGAGUAAAUGAUGCCUUUUGGUGUCGCUAAAGGAUGGGCUCGCGGCCUAUCAGUUUGUUGGUGAGGUAAAGGCUCACCAAGACUACGACGGGUAUCUGGUCUGAGAGGACGAUCAGCAACACUGGAACUGAGACACGGUCCAGACACCUACGGGUGGCAGCAGUCGAGAAUCAUUCACAAUGGAGGAAACUCUGAUGGUGCAACGCCGCGUGGAGGAUGACGGCCCUAGGGUUGUAAACUCCU